rnacentral:rRNA from 1 species
GACGAACGCUGGCGGCGUGCCUAAUACAUGCAAGUUGAGCGCUGAAGGUUGGUACUUGUACCAACUGGAUGAGCAGCGAACGGGUGAGUAACGCGUGGGGAAUCUGCCUUUGAGCGGGGGACAACAUUUGGAAACGAAUGCUAAUACCGCAUAAAAACUUUAAACACAAGUUUUAAGUUUGAAAGAUGCAAUUGCAUCACUCAAAGAUGAUCCCGCGUUGUAUUAGCUAGUUGGUGAGGUAAAGGCUCACCAAGGCGAUGAUACAUAGCCGACCUGAGAGGGUGAUCGGCAACAUUGGGACUGAGACACGGCCCAAACUCCUACGGGAUGCAGAAGGAGGGAAUCUUCGGAAAUGGAAGAAAGUCUGACCGAGCAACACCGCGUGAGUGAAGAAGGUUUUAGGAUCGUAAAACUCUGUUGGUAGAGAAGAACGUUGGUGAGAGUGGAAAGCGCAUCAAGUGACGGUAACUACCCAGAAAGGGACGGCUAACUACGUG